rnacentral:rRNA from 1 species
GAUGAACGCUGGCGGCGUGCCUAAUACAUGCAAGUCGAGCGAACGGACGAGAAGCUUGCUUCUCUGAUGUUAGCGGCGGACGGGUGAGUAACACGUGGAUAACCUACCUAUAAGACUGGGAUGACUUCGGGAAACCGGAGCUAAUACCGGAUGAUAUUUUGAACCGCAUGGUUCAAAAGUGAAAGACGGUCUUGCUGUCACUUAUAGAUGGAUCCGCGCUGUAUUAGCUAGUUGGUAAGGUAACGGCUUACCAAGGCAACGAUGCAUAGCCGACCUGAGAGGGUGAUCGGCCACACUGGAACUGAGACACGGUCCAGACUCCUACGGGAGGCAGCAGUAGGGAAUCUUCCGCAAUGGGCGAAAGCCUGACGGAGCAACGCCGCGUGAGUGAUGAAGGUCUUCGGAUCGUAAAACUCUGUUAUUAGGGAAGAACAUAUGUGUAAGUAACUGUGCACAUCUUGACGGUACCUAAUCAGAAAGCCACGGCUAACUACGUG